rnacentral:rRNA from 1 species
UACGUAGGUGACCAGCGUUGUCCGGAUUUACCUGGGCGUGAAAGAGCGACGCAGGCGGUCGUUCAAGUCGAGUGUGAAAGCCCCGGCUCCAACUGGGAGGGUCGAUUCGAUACUGAUCGACUCGAAGGCAGGAGAGGGAAGCGGAAUUCCCGGUGUAGUGGUGAAAUGCGUAGAUAUCGAGAGGAACACCUGCGGCGAAGGCGGGUUGCUGGGCCGGCACUGACGCUGAUGCGCGAAAGCCAGGGAGCGAACGGG